rnacentral:rRNA from 1 species
CCUACGGGUGGCAGCAGUGAGGAAUAUUGGUCAAUGGGCGAGAGCCUGAACCAGCCAAGUCGCGUGAAGGAUGACGGCCCUACGGGUUGUAAACUUCUUUUGUCCGGGAGCAAUUGAGUCCACGUGUGGGCUUAGCGCGAGUAACUGAAGAAAAAGCAUCGGCUAACUCCGUGCCAGCAGCCGCGGUAAUACGGAGGAUGCGAGCGUUAUCCGGAUUUAUUGGGUUUAAGGGGUGCGUAGUCGGAAUAUCAAGUCAGCGGUACAAAUUCGGGGGUCAACCCCGGCGUGCCGGUGAAACGGAUGUUCUUGAGGGGGCGAGAAGUAUGCGGAAUGCGUGGUGUAGCGGUGAAAUGCAUAGAUAGCAAGCAGAACUCCGAUUGCGAAGGCAGCAGAACGGCGCCCAACUGACGCUGAAGCACGAAAGCGUGGGUAUCGAACAGGAUUAGAUACCCGUGUAGUC